rnacentral:rRNA from 1 species
UACGUAGGGUGCAAGCGUUAUCCGGAAUUAUUGGGCGUAAAGAGCUCGUAGGCGGUUUGUCGCGUCUGCUGUGAAAACCGGAGGCUCAACCUCCGGCCUGCAGUGGGUACGGGCAGACUAGAGUGCGGUAGGGGAGAUUGGAAUUCCUGGUGUAGCGGUGGAAUGCGCAGAGAUCAGGAGGAACACCGAUGGCGAAGGCAGAUCUCUGGGCCGUAACUGACGCUGAGGAGCGAAAGCAUGGGGAGCGAACAGG